rnacentral:lncRNA from 1 species
GAAUGCCAAUCCCACAACCCAUUGUGUUGCCUGAAAGGAGACAAAACAGUCCCAGGCUAACCCCCACGUUUCCUACCCCAAGAGUUCCCUGCUGGACUGUGGAGUGAUGGUGGUUAUAGAAACAAUUGGACACUAUGGCAUGAAUGGAUCGAGUAAACUGGCUGCUGGCUGGUAGUGGGAGGAGUAAAGGUAGGGGAAAUGCAGUGCUGUGAAUAAAAAGAAGGCCUUGCGCAGGGUGGCAGACUUGAAGAGAAGGAAAGAGAUUGCACAGCUGAGCUGUCCGGCAAGUUGGUUUGGAAAGCAAACCAAAUACCUGGUCAGGAUGGUGUAUUGUGUGUUUCCCUUUUGUACUAAUGGGCAGAGUAGUGGCAAAUUCUUUUACCACUUCCCUUCCAAGGGGAAAAUGAGAGCAGCAUGGACUGAGGCUUGCAGAAGGGAAAUGAGCUGAAAGCCAAGCAAAAAUAGCAUGCUCUGUGAAGAUCCCUUUGAUGAAUGUGAUUUCUCAAUGAUGGUGGACAUGGCAUGACACUGUGGAUACAAAAGAAACCCUCUGAAGAAGAAAGCUGUCCCCAAACUGAGAAUACGAGCAACUGCAGGGCUGGCAGCAGAGAGUAGAAGUCUGAGCUCCAAUAGGAAGCAUUUUUGUGUGCCAUCCACGAAUGCAGAGGUGGAUCCUGCGCUUGCGGAUGAGAAUGCUAGUCCAGGUGUUUCCAAACUUCCCGGGGCAGAUGUCGGGAAUAUAAAGAGCACCGCAGUGCGAGGACAAGCAACAUGUCCAUCACCACAUAAUCUAAGUCCUGAAGUGGAGUGUUUAUUUUCACACAGAAAAGUCACAGUUAAGUGGAGUUUCGCUAUAACAGGAGAGAGCCUACCUGGUUAUUGCUUCCGUCUUCUCAGCCCAGGAACAAUGGCAAGGGCUUUCUUCACCCCUUGCAUUUUAGGGGGUCAUUAUCAGUUUUGUGUGUUGUUGCUACCAGUGGGAAGCAGCUGUGGCAAGAGUAAUCCAGUUCCUUUUAAUCCACCCUAAAAACAGAUGCACCAAGAGUGGGAGUCAGUGAAUGCCAUUUUAGCCUUUUGCCAUGGGAUAUUGUCCACUUCUCUUAACCCUCCUCUAUCACCUAGGCCUGAUCCAAAUCCUAUUUAACUCCCACAGAGUAUGUCUACAUAGCACACUAAGUCCAGGCUCUGAUUCAGAUUUGAGCCUAAGCCCCCGUUCCAUCCACACACAAAAUCAGUCUGACUUGGGUCAGCAAGCGCACAGUACCCGGGUUCUAGGAUCCUGCUAUUGUGGUGGGUCAGAGCUUGAAUCUUUCUCUGACUGAAGUCCAAGCCCUGUCAUUUUGCUGUGUGGAUACAGCUCAAUCCACAAACCUGAGUCACAAGGUCUGCCUACUUCAGUAUCGAUGGGUUACCAUGGCUAUGAGACUUGUAUUCAGCAAUUGUAAACCCAGGUUUACAAUGGAGUGUGGAUGCUCAGGUCAGUGGUGCUGGAACAAUUUGUACAGUGGGGGUGCUAAGAGCCAUUGAACCAAACUGCAAACCCUGUAUAUAAUGGAAACCACUUCAAGCCAGCACCCCUAGUUCUAGCACUGAUGGCUCAUGUGUUUGGAAAUACAGAGUCCACAAGCACAGAUGUCACAGAUCUGGGCAUACAAUGCAAUACAGACAUACCUAUAGACUCCCGUGUGCUGAUCAGGCCCCUAGAGCAGGGGAGUGGGCGAUGGUAGUCUCUUUGGAAUGCAUCUAUCUGGUAGGUGGAAAAUGCUGUAUUCCAGAGGACUUCGCAGAGUGGCAUCUGAACACACUGGAGAGAAAAAUUACUAUUAAUGGAGUGACGCUUCAUUAUAAGAAGAGAGAAAGACCACAGAAAUGUACUGAUGUAAUUUAGGAUUUUCACUCUACUCCACUGGUAACAAUCUUACCUAUAUGCUGCUGCACACGGUUAACUUAAGAUGUGAUUUUAAACGGAUUUAGUUAAACCAGUGCCAAAGGCUGUGUGGAAACCCUUAUUUCAGUUGAAAUAGGGCUUGUUUCAGUUUAUCUUAAAUCAAUUAAUAACAAGUCUAAGCUACAUGAAUCUAAGUCAUUCUUAAACCAAAAUAAGAGUGUCCACAUGGGGGUUGGCACUGGUUUAAUUAACCCAGUGCAAAUUUGUGUGUAAGCAAAGCUAGAGUUUUACUAUAGCUGAGCAACAUGUCCUGCAGUAUUUUUGGAAGAACAGAGUGACGCACAGUCUCAUAUACCAAUUGUAAUACAAACAUCGUUUAUAUUAGGUGCAAGAUUCAGCCAAGUUGUGGCAACUUUGAAAAUUUGUCCCAUCAGUUCGUCUACUCCGUUCCUAACAGGGGCUAAUGCAAGACUGUACUUUAGAAUCUAUGCUCCAGGGCUCUGCCUGAUCUAGUUUUAAAUGUCUCAGGUGACAUGAUUUUCCCUACUUCCAGUGGGAGAUUAUUCCACAAAAUAAUAAGCCUCACUAUCAGUAACACCGUACCAAUACAAGAAAAUCCUUUAUCAGGCGCACUUGUUAACAGCACAUUGUCUUGUAACAUUCAAUUUGAAUGACAGGGCCUAUUGCUAACAAAAAAUAUUACUCAGUGUUUUGUAUGUGUUUUCAGUAUACUGUCAAAUCUGGGGGCUUAUGCUGACAUUUCCUCAGCUCCUCAGUUUAUUUCUUUGAUGAGAAAAACACAAGAAGAAAAAGCUUAUUGUUCCUGUUGUUGUGCGCUGAACAACUUAUAAAAAGUGUCAUAGUACUCUACAACAUUGUUCCAGACAUGACAGUGUGCAACAUCAGUUUUGCAAACACUUGUGAUUUCAUUGAGAGUCUGGUGAUAUUUCUUAAAGCCCCAGCUCCUGGAGUCAUGUGAUUACAUAAAAAUCUCAGCUUUCAUUUGGAGCUCUAGCCCUCAUGAUUGUGGAGCAAAGUUUGAAGAUGUGAUCCUAAUGCAAUUUACAGGCUCAGAAACCAAAAGUCAAAGAAAAAGAACUUCACAUUUUUUUAAUUAAUAAUUUUUAACACAACUUUAUCAUAUUUCAGGAUUUGACAAUAUUGUUACUCCAUUGUUUUGGGCCACUAAUAAAUAUUUAUACUUUGCACUUCCA